rnacentral:rRNA from 1 species
UACGUAGGGCGCAAGCGUUGUCCGGAAUUAUUGGGCGUAAAGAGCUCGUAGGCGGUCUGUUACGUCCGCUGUGAAAACCCAGGGCUUAACCCUGGGCUUGCAGUGGAUACGGGCAGACUAGAGGCAGGUAGGGGAGAAUGGAAUUCCCCGGUGUAGCGGUGAAAUGCGCAGAUAUCAGGAGGAACACCGGUGGCGAAGGCGGGUCUCUGGGCCGAUACUGACGCUGAGGUGCGAAAGCGUGGGGAGCAAACAGG